UCUAAAGCUCACAAUCUAUCUUGCAAAAAAUAUUUUAAAUUCCAUCUCAAAUAAGCCAGGGUGAAAAGGGAGCCUGUGCACCAGACACUGCCAGCCUUGCCUGGCUCUCGCCUUCUUGCUCUUCCUUCCCCACCUGCUGGGGAUUUUCUUAACGAUGGAGAUGGGUUUGGGUUUGUCCUGCUGUGCUCUGCUCCCCAUUCCCGGAUCCAAGGUCCUGCCUCUGUCCUGUCCCCUGAGCCACCUCAGGGAUGCAGGGUCCCCCACCUGGUCAAGUGCCCAGUGCUGUGUUGUCAUUUGCAAGUUCUUCCUGUGACUGAACUCCAAAUGGCACUGGGACUGCUGACUCCACCCACUGGACAACCCGUGUUCUUGCUUUUGGGGUUUCUGAAACAGCCCCAAGACUCUGGGCAUCUUGAUUUUGCUCCCAUUGCUUCUCAGGACACCCUGCUCCUGUGGUUUGCAGCCCCGGCCUUCUCUUCGAGGACGCCUCUGCUCUUCUGCCUCACACUCGGAUUGGACCUUCUUCAGCACAGCCAGUGGCCGAGGCUUCCUCCCUGGGGCUCAGUGGAGCAGGACAGAUGCUGCAUCCAAACUCUUCCAUUGGGUUCCAGUCUGUUCCAGUCAUGCCCUUGAGCCUCUAAAGCUCCUAGGUGAGAGACGUAGCAGCUGACAGCACUUCCCACUUGAUUUGGGUGGACUCCAGCCUCCCCAGCAACAAUAAGAGAUCAAAAGCAUCGUUGAGGAAGCAGCUUGCUGAAACGCUGAGUGCCCGCCACUCUCAGGUCAGGUGGGACCGGCAGGCCAGCAUGAGUUCCUGAACACUUGGUUCUCAAUACUGGCCACAGCCACACUGUAAGGGGAAACAAGAGGGCACUGUAUGCAAACAUCUCUUGAACUCUGGAGUCUGCUCACCUUCCUGCCUCAAGCCCCUCUCCCACGUGGUCCAGUCACCAUUCUCCACAGAGACUACCCUAAAACCCAGCGACUCUCGUGUGCCUGCAGAAUGGCACAGCCCGUUCUCAUAGCAGCACUCCUGUUUAAUCAGAGGGAUGUUAACGACCAAGUCAUAUUUGCUCGAUUUGUGUUCAACAUAUUUCAUUUGUACCGAUAAAACUUAAAAAUAUCCCCACACAUGCAUUGCCUAUUAAAGAGUAUCUUCCAGGUACACCUCCCUUACACAUCAGUUAACUUGAUAAUUUCUUCCCAUUCUUGUGCAAUAAAUUUCCUUCCUGAUCAGCUCUGUCCAGCAGCAACAAUAAUCCACGUAGAGACAUGCAAACUAAAAGUCCGUUAGUGGAGGCACGAAGCUGAUGAGGCUUGGAAAAAAAUGACCGAUUUGAUUAAAAUUAGGACCCAUGGGAGUGGAGCUCUGCCUAUUUUAGAGGCAAAGUAAAUGCCUGGGAGUCCAAUCACCGACAUUCUGUUUGAGGUUUCUAAUCACAAGGAAGAUGGAGAAAAUGCAGAACAAGUGGUCAAGAACAGGGAGAUAAUAAAUAGAAUAUUUAUGGGCUGAGGAAAACAAUUACCAGGGGAAAGCCCAAGAAGCAAAGAUGAACAGAGAACGUGCUGACUGCGCUCGUUUGGAAAGGCCUCAUGGCCAAAGGAGGAGAGGCAUUAUGAGGAGCAGUGACCGAGUGGGCAGGACCCCCGGGGAUCAGGAAAGGUGCACGGGGGGAAAUGAGAGGCCUGAGCGGCUUCCCAGCGAAGGUUUUUGAAGCACGGUUUGAUUUUCUCUCUCCCCCUCACCAUCCCCAAAUUUUAGUUGUGACUAUCUCCAGGUACAUGGCUUGCGACAGGCGGUGUAUAAAAACUAAUGUCAGUUUAAUUUUAAAACCUUAGCCAUUUUCUGGAACUUAAAUAUCAAAGAGAAAAUGUCCACAUAUGAUGUUAAUUGAGGUUUGUCUCACUGGUGAUUUGUGCUGAUUCAAUUCCUGUUUCUUUUUUUUUUUCUUAAGGGGUCAGUUUUAGAAUUGGGAGAUAGGUGUAUAACAUAUGACUAUACAGCGCAGGUUGGUUUUUUAACAUAGAAAUAUCUGCCUUUAAAUGAGAACUGAAAACGGAGCUUCUUGGAGGCCACCUGCUGGUGGCAGUGAUCUGACCGCUGUUUAAGCUUUCUUUGAACUCCUUUUUUUAAAACAGCCUCCAUAAUCAAUGGUGUACGAUCUACUCUCGUGGUAAAACUUACUCAGUGAAGAGUGUGUUUUAUUUUCUGAGGAGCUGAACUGUUCCAACCUGAGUAUUCUGAAUAAGGACAGUGGUCGAGCAUGAGUGAUGCCAUCUGGGCUUAGAAAUAAGUGGGCCUAAAAUCUGAUUGUUUUCAUACAUUGUUCAGAUAUUGACGCAAAUAGCAAUUUAUUUUGU
rnacentral:lncRNA from 1 species